rnacentral:rRNA from 1 species
AUGACUAAGCUUAUGCACCUCCUUCGAGCAAAAGCACUACUCCUUUGCCUACUCAUCUCCCAAACAGCAUCCACUUCCCAUGGUCAAGCGAGUGAAUCAGAGGCUUGCCUUAGCAGUGAGCGAGAUGCGCUCCUGUCCUUCAAGGCGAGCCUCUUCGACCCUGCUGGCCAUCUCUCGUCAUGGCGCCGUGGCAACAACUGUUGUCAAUGGAAGGGUGUUCGAUGCAGCAAUCGAACUGGCCAUAUAAUCAAACUCAACCUCCGCAACAUCGACAUGGAUACUGGUGGCUAUCCGAACAUGAGCAGAUCAUUGAGCUUGUCGGCAGGAGAGAUGAGCUCCUCUUUGGCUACUUUGCAACACCUAAGGUAUCUUGAUCUGAGCCAUAAUGACUUCACCGGCACAAGCAUACCUGUUUUCAUGGGUUCCCUCGGCAAAUUAAGUGGAUCUUGCAUGGUUGCCACGCCUCUCUUUGUU